ACCCCUGAAACAUGGGUUCACAAAUUACAACUUAUCAUCUAUCACAUAAAACUGGGAAGAAAUAAAAUGUAUAUAUCAUGUAUUACUAAGUGUCACAAAUAUGCUGUGACAAUCACCAUCUUCACAUUCCUGGCUCUGCGAAAACGUAGGGUUCUCGCCACGUCAAAACCCUCUGCUAUUCCAUGGACGAUCACCGAGGAGGGUUUCCGAUUUGGAUGGCAUUGGGAGAUUUCAUGGCCUCUCGCUUUUCCCAAUCCACCGUUCCCGGCGUUCCCAGCCAGAGCCACCACGACGAUUCUACCUCCUCCUCCUCCUCCUCCUCCGCCGCCGCCGCCACCACCAAUGACGACGCCGACUUCGCCAACCGCCGCGACUCCGAAGCCGCCAUCGCCAGUAGCUGCGGCAACUACACCGGUAAUGCCGCCACCAGCAUGGCGUAUCUGCCGCAGACCGUCGUCCUCUGCGAGCUCCGCCAUGACGCCUUCGAGCCCGCCGUCCCCGCUGGCUCCUCCGGCAGCGGCCUAGUCUCCAAGUGGCGACCUAAGGACAGGGUGAGUUUCAAUUUCAUCUGCGAGCUCCGCCAUGACGCCUUCGAGCCCGCCGUCCCCGCUGGCUCCUCCGGCAGCGGCCUAGUCUCCAAGUGGCGACCUAAGGACAGGAUGAAGACAGGAUGUGUAGCUCUAGUAUUAUGUUUAAACAUUAGUGUUGAUCCACCAGAUGUCCUAAAGAUAUCCCCUUGUGCCAGAAUGGAGUGCUGGAUAGAUCCUUUUUCUAUGGCACCACAAAAGGCAUUGGAAUCAAUUGGAAAAACUUUGAGCAGUCAGUAUGACAGUUGGCAACCAAAGGCCUGCUAUAAAUGUCAACUUGAUCUGACAGUGGAUGAGGUGAAGAAGCUUUGCACCACGAGUCGUAGAUAUGCAAAGUCAGAAAGAGUUUUAUUUCAUUACAAUGGGCAUGUUGUGCCGAAGUCAACUCCCAAUGGUGAAAUUUGGGUCUUCAAUAAGAGUUACACGCAGUAUAUCCCCUUAGCUAUCAAUGAACUCGAUUCGUGGCUGAAGACCCCAUCAAUUUAUGUUUUUGAUUGCUCUGCGGCUGGGUUGAUUGUAAAUUCCUUCAUUGAGCUUCAUAAAUGGAGUGCUUCCAACUCCUCUGUGUCCCAAAGGGAUUGCAUUCUGCUUGCAGCAUGUGAAGCACACGAGACUUUGCCUCAGAGUGCAGAAUUCCUGGCUGAUGUGUUUACAUCUUGCCUUACAACACCUAUAAAGAUGGCAUUGCGAUGGUUUUGUACUCGUUCCUUAUUUUGCGAGUCACUUGAUUAUUCACUUGUAGACAAGAUCCCUGGCCGCCCAAAUGACCGAAAGACACUUCUGGGUGAGUUGAAUUGGAUCUUUACAGCAGUAACUAAUACAAUUGCCUGGAAUGUUCUUCCUUAUGGCUGCAUCUCAAGUUCAUGGUGGACAUUUUGCAGCUGGUUUCGUUGACGGUUCUGUUAGACUUUAUGAUGUCAGAACACCUGAAAUGCUCGUCUGUGGAUUAAGGCCUCAUACACAGAGUAGAAAAAGUUGUAGGGAUUGGCUUUCAACCUGGAUUAGACCAAGGAAAGUAUUUAGCCUGGAGGGCGAUCAAUUUGGCACCAUUCGAUACUACCCUACCCUAAUGGCCCAGAAAAUUGGUUCUGUAAAAUGCCUCAAUUUCCAUCCAUACCAAGUAUUACUUGCUGCUGGUGCUGCAGAUGCCUGCGUUAGUAUCUAUGCUGAUGACAACACAGCUUUUUUUCAUACUGAAAAUACUGAAUAAAAAAUUACUGACAUAAUAGAACAAUACAUGUAGAUAUACAAACUUACAGGGAAUUCUAUGAUAAAAGAAAUAAAGGGCUUAUAAUAAAGAAUGGUGCUUGAAAAUAUAGGAUAGGAUAGAAUGAAAUAACAUACAAGUGUUAAGUAUAAAAA